AUUGAACGCUGGCGGCAGGCUUAACACAUGCAAGUCGAACGGUAGCAGGAGAAAGCUUGCUUUCUUGCUGACGAGUGGCGGACGGGUGAGUAAUGCUUGGGAAUCUGGCUUAUGGAGGGGGAUAACUACGGGAAACUGUAGCUAAUACCGCGUAAUAUCGAAAGAUUAAAGUGUGGGACCUUCGGGCCACAUGCCAUAAGAUGAGCCCAAGUGGGAUUAGGUAGUUGGUGGGGUAAAGGCCUACCAAGCCGACGAUCUCUAGCUGGUCUGAGAGGAUGACCAGCCACACUGCAACUGAGACCGGUCCAACUCCUCCGGAGGCAGCACGGGGAAUAUGUUGCAUUAGCCUCACCUUUAUCCCCCAUUUCAGGCUUCUGCUGUUUGUUUUUCUUUAGCAUGACCGGCUCUUAGCUUCUG
rnacentral:rRNA from 1 species